rnacentral:lncRNA from 1 species
UUGAAUUCUUUUCAUCAUUACCGAUUGGAAUUCAUCACCGUCCAUUCUAAGGGCUACAGAAAUUACAUUGGCUGUCAUGGGCCGGUCACUAUCGUGAUCAUGCAUUGCACCUUCAAACCCUUCAUCCAUGGUGCCAACAAACAAUAAGACUUUUGCUCCUUUAAAUUGUGUAAUAUUCGGUUGAAUUUUGUAGAUAGAGACUGCUUAGAACAAUACUCACUUUUGGAGACGGAAACUGAGAUGGAGAGUGGAGACUAUUGAGAACAACAAUAGCAAAGGAGUUUGAAAAUUUUGAAAGGAGAAGUGAUAUUUGUAGCGUCGGAUCUUUUCAGUGACCGGCGGGGGCCUUUUCCUGCCUUGUUUUUUACAUUUUAUCUUCUAAUUUUAAAUAUUGUGUUAAAAAAAACGCAUAUGUGGGGAUUCGAUUCGAACCCCAAUCAUUAGAUACUUUCUAAGAUUGU